rnacentral:rRNA from 1 species
GGGGAAUAUUGCACAAUGGGCGGAAGCCUGAUGCAGCAACGCCGCGUGCGGGAUGACGGCCUUCGGGUUGUAAACCGCUUUCGCCUGUGACGAAGCGUGAGUGACGGUAAUGGGUAAAGAAGCACCGGCUAACUACGUGCCAGCAGCCGCGGUGAUACGUAGGGUGCGAGCGUUGUCCGGAUUUAUUGGGCGUAAAGGGCUCGUAGGUGGUUGAUCGCGUCGGAAGUGUAAUCUUGGGGCUUAACCCUGAGCGUGCUUUCGAUACGGGUUGACUUGAGGAAGGUAGGGGAGAAUGGAAUUCCUGGUGGAGCGGUGGAAUGCGCAGAUAUCAGGAGGAACACCAGUGGCGAAGGCGGUUCUCUGGGCCUUUCCUGACGCUGAGGAGCGAAAGCGUGGGGAGCGAACAGGCUUAGAUACCCUGGUAGUCUACGCUGUAAACGGUGGGUACUAGGUGUGGGGUCCAUUCCACGGGUUCCGCGCCGUAGCUAACGCUUUAAGUACCCCGCCUGGGGAGUACGGCCGCAAGGCUA